AUGCUUAGGAAUAGGCUGCCUACGUCGGAUAACGUGGCCAAACGAAAUGGUUCGGCCGAUGGUACAUGUUCGAUUUGCGGACUAGGUGAAGAUGCGAACCAUGUAUUUGUUAGGUGCCACCUGGCCAGGUUUGCGUGGAGCGCGGUCCGGGAGGCCUUCCACACGGAUUGGAAUCCCGCUUCGGGGACCCAAUUAGUCUCUAUUCUCAAGUCCACGAAAGGGACUACUAGCAGACUUGCCUGGCAUUGCGUAGGGGCGUUAUUGUGGGCUAUUUGGACGACGCGCAAUAAAAUUACGAUUGAGAAAAAAAUUUCCUAA
rnacentral:rRNA from 1 species